rnacentral:tRNA from 1 species
UAUAUUUUAGUUUAUGAUGAAUAUAAGUUUUUGAUACUUAAGGAAAUAGUUUGAUCCUAUUAAAUAUAA